UGAGCCCGCACUUGAUUAGUUUGUUGGUGGGGUAAUGGCCUACCAAGACUUUGAUCAAUAGCUGAUCUGAGAGGAUGAUCAGCCACAUUGGGACUGAGACACGGCCCAAACUCCUACGGGAGGCAGCAGUAGGGAAUAUUGCACAAUGGAGGAAACUCUGAUGCAGCGAUGCCGCGUGAGUGAAGAAGGCCUUUGGGUUGUAAAGCUCUUUCGUCGGGGAAGAAAAUGACGGUACCCGAAUAAGAAGGUCCGGCUAACUUCGUGCCAGCAGCCGCGGUAAUACGAAGGGACCUAGCGUAGUUCGGAAUUACUGGGCUUAAAGAGUUCGUAGGUGGUUAAAAAAGUUGGUUGUGAAAUCCCGAAGCUUAACUUCGGAACUGCAAUCAAAACUUUUUAGCUAGAGUAUGAUAGAGGAAAGCAGAAUUUCUAGUGUAGAGGUGAAAUUCGUAGAUAUUAGAAAGAAUACCAAUUGCGAAGGCAGCUUUCUGGAUCAUUACUGACGCUGAGGAACGAAAGCAUGGGUAGCGAAGAGGAUUAGAUACCCUCGUAGUCCAUGCCGUAAACGAUGUGUGUUAGACGUUGGAAAUUUAUUUUCAGUGUCGCAGCGAAAGCAGUAAACACACCGCCUGGGGAGUACGACCGCAAGGUUAAAACUCAAAUGAAUUGACGGGGACCCGCACAAGUAGUGGAGCAUGUGGUUUAAUUCGAAGAUACGCGCAGAACCUUACCAACACUUGACAUGUUCGUCGCGGCUCUAAGAGAUUAGAGCUUUCGGUUCGGCCGGACGAAACACAGGUGCUGCAUGGCUGUCGUCAGCUCGUGUCGUGAGAUGUUGGGUUAAGUCCCGCAACGAGCGCAACCCUCACUUUUAGUUGCCAUCAUUUAGUUGGGCACUCUGAAAGAACUGCCAGUGAUAAGCUGGAGGAAGGUGGGGAUGACGUCAAGUCCUCAUGGCCCUUACGUGUUGGGCUACACACGUGCUACAAUGGCAUUUACAAUAGGAAGCAAGAUGGCGACGUCAA
rnacentral:rRNA from 1 species